GUCCAACGCCCCUAAGACAACACGCCUUAAUGUGAUUAAACGCGUAACUAAAAUCAAUCACCAUCCCUAGACCAAGAUUCAAAACAAGGCUCGUGUUGAAUCUAAACAAAGGUUCAUAAUCAUCCUAAGGCCCUAAGGCAACUAUAUAGUCCAUCAAAUGAAUGCAAAGGUUAUGUUAGUAGUAUCAUAUACUCUUGCUUUAAAAACUGUUUUAUAAGCAUAGUGGGAGUAUUAUAUACAACUAAAAACAAUCAUAUGGACCAAUAGUUGUAAUAGGACCAAAAUUGUUUUAAUAGAGAUUAAAAUGUAUGAUUAUUUGUGAUGAGACCUAAAACCCUCAACCAAACCAUUAUUAAGUUGAUAAGCGUGAGAGUGCUUUGAACACUC
rnacentral:lncRNA from 1 species